AUGGUUGUCGUCUAGCUCGUGUCGUGAGAUGUUGGUUAAGUCCGCAACGAGCGCAACCCCUAUUGUUAGUUGCCAUCAUUCAGUUGGGCACUCUAGCGAGACUGCCGGUAAUAAACCGGAGGAAGGUGGGGAUGACGUCAAAUCAUCAUGCCCCUUAUGACCUGGGCUACACACGUGCUACAAUGGUUGGUACAACGAGUUGCGAGUCGGUGACGGCGAGCUAAUCUCUUAAAGCCAAUCUCAGUUCGGAUUGUAGGCUGCAACUCGCCUACAUGAAGUCGGAAUCGCUAGUAAUCGCGGAUCAGCACGCCGCGGUGAAUACGUUCCCGGGCCUU
rnacentral:rRNA from 1 species